ACCUGGUUGAUCCUGCCAGUAGCAUAUGCUUGUCUCAAAGAUUAAGCCAUGCACGUCUCAGUACAUGCCGCUAAUAUAAAAGGCGAAACCGCAAAUGGCUCAUUAAAUCAGUCACGGUUCAUUGGAUCGUAACGCGUUACUUGGAUAACUGUAGUAAUUCUAGAGCUAAUACAUGCAGCCGAGCUCCGAGAGCCCUCUCGGGGCAGGACGAGCGCUUUUAUUAGAUUCUUCCCCACGGUCUCCGGACCGUCGAAGUGACCGAAGCUGAGUAACUUUGCAGAUCGCACGGGCCCGCCCCGGCGACGCAUCCUUCAAGUGUCUGCCUUAUCAACUGUCGACGGUAGGUUAUUCGCCUACCGUGGUCGCCACGGGUGACGGGGAAUCAGGGUUCGAUUCCGGAGAGGGAGCCUGAGAAACGGCUACCACAUCUAAGGAAGGCAGCAGGCACGCAAAUUACCCAAUCCCGGCUCGGGGAGGUAGUGACGAAAAAUAACGACGCUGGACUCUACGAGACCCAGUCGUCGGAAUGAGUGCGCUCUAAACCCUCGACGCGAGGACCCACCGGAGGGCAAGACUAAUGCCAGCCGCUGCGGUAAUUUUAGCUCCGGUAGCGUAUACUAAAUUUGUUGCAGUUAAAAAGCUCGUAGUUGGAUUCCUGCUCUGGACGUAGGGGGCCGCUAACGCGGUCCACCAUGCGCACCCGGCAUUCUGCCCGCCGCUCCCGAGAUCGUUGUCAAAGGCGGCUCGGGGUGGAUGGCGGAGAUCGCUUUGCAAAAAUUAGAGUGCUCUAGGCGGGCCACUAAGCUCGAAUAGUAAUGCACGGUACGAUGAAACAUGACUUUGGCUCUUAUUCGGUUGGGGCACGGAGACCGAGGUAAUGAUUAAUAGGAGCAGACGGGGGCAUUCGUAUUCCGACGCUAGAGGUGAAAUUCUUGGACCGUCGGAAGACGCACCACUGCGAAAGCAUUUGCCAAGAAUGUUUCCGUUGACCAAGAACGAAAGUG